rnacentral:tRNA from 1 species
AUAUAGGUCAGCUAAUGAAAGCUAAUGGGCUCAUAUCUCAUAAAUGAAGUUAAUUAUUUCUCCUUCCUUUUGUU